UACGAAGGGGGCUAGCGUUGUUCGGAAUCACUGGGCGUAAAGCGCACGUAGGCGGAUUGUUAAGUCGGGGGUGAAAUCCUGAGGCUCAACCUCAGAACUGCCUUCGAUACUGGCAAUCUCGAGUCCGGAAGAGGUUGGUGGAACAGCUAGUGUAGAGGUGAAAUUCGUAGAUAUUAGCUAGAACACCAGUGGCGAAGGCGGCCAACUGGUCCGGUACUGACGCUGAGGUGCGAAAGCGUGGGGAGCGAUCCGG
rnacentral:rRNA from 1 species